GCAUGUGUGAGCCCUCUCAUCCGACUCCUGAGAUCUUAUCAGGAAGCUGCUGAUCACCAGCUUCAGGUGUUUCUAUUUAUUGGGAGACUGUCUUUCCCUGGCACCAGCUGCAACCAAUGAUUACUUUAGAGAGACAGUUUAACAACUGCCUGACCAUCACCUGAUGGUCAUCUGACAUUCCCAGGACUCCAGAUAAGAGCCCAGGCCAAAGGACACCUUGAUUUUGACCUUGUCAGACCUGGAGUUGAAAAACCAGCUGCACCCUUCUAGAAUUCUUACUUACAAAACUGGAGAUGUUACAAGACAAGAUGAUUUCACUGGAAGCUGAGUUUUGCCAGCUUUGGGGAAAUGCUGAUGCAGAACAUCAUUUAUUUAAGGCUGAUACUCAUGGAUAGAAGAGUCAAAGUGCGAAUAUAUGCACCCUUCUAUACGGAUUCUGCAGAAAGAUAUGCUUGGGUCAUGACUCAGACAAUUUGGAGAGAAUUCCCUGAAACAUUCACUGUACAACUCUACUUUCUUGAAUACUUACUAUAAUUAAAGUUCAUUUCUGAUUUACAUAAAGACCAAUGAGCAUGCUAGAGAAUUUCUGCUUCAGGUAGUUAUUCAAGAAAACAGUACUAUGGAAGCUUUACCAUCUUCACUUUGUGGAUUUCAUAUCUAUUUCUACCUGGAAAAGAAGAGAAAGAUAGAGUACAAAAUUGCAAAAGGGGUUUUUAUAGGCAAUGACUUCAAGUGUAGCAUAUUACUUCUACCUGCAUUCCAUUGUCUGGAUGUGGAAUUCACUCAUAUGUGUACAUUUAACAGCAAGAAAGAUAGAGCUAGUUCCCUUAAGAAAAGAGAGAGGUAUUCACUCAAUAGCUCGAUAAUUUCUGCCACAAUGAAAGUAAGAUAUGCAUUACAAAAUUGUUCUAUUCUCUUUUCAAAUAACUCAUUUUAAAUUGGUUGCUGAGACAUUUCCUUGGAGCAUAGUAACAGUUUCUUACUCACUCAACAUAAUUUCCAUAAUGCAAAUGAAAAAAAAACUGGUAAAUAUAGGUUAUAGUGUUACUUGUUAAAAGUGUUUUCCACAUACAAAAUUUUAUUUGCAUAUGGUGUCCUUUGAAAAAGAAGCACUUAAGAUUUUUUAAUCUCUUAAAGUUAGGCAUUUAAAUCUAGUUAAAUUCAAAUUGUGAUAUAUUUUGUAUAACAUCUUCAAAAUUUAUAUCAGUAUAAAACAAGUUCAGUUAAAAAUCUACUGCAUACACACCACCUUAGGUCUACUGUAUACAAGAAAUGACACAAAAAAUUCUUCUAGAGUUUGAAACUGUCUGAAAGAUUUUUGUUUUCAAUCACACGCAGAGGGUUUAAAUAAUGAAAAAACCAUGCUGUAAUUUUUUAUAAUGUUUCUGAAACAAUAACAGCAAAAACACAAUUUAAGAAGAAAAAAGAUGAGAAAAAAUUAUUAACAAUUAACAAUAACAAAUAAGAAAUUAAGAAAUACAUUCAUUUAAAAAUUAGUUAUUUGGAGUGCUUAACACAAACUAUAGUUCAUGAACUUUUACCUACCUAGACAUGGUUUAUAAUAUUCUUUAAUUAUCAAAAUAUGUUUCAAAAAUGUAUUACUUAUACAAAUAUGAGCUAUCAUUUGAUGAGUAAGACAGACACUUGUAGCUAAAAAAAUUCAUGUAAAGAGCAUAUGCAUUUCCAUAUAUUAAACAGUGAAAGGCGUAACAGAGGAACUUUGCCACUUUACAUGAAACAUUUUGUUUCUAAACUUUUGAAAAGAUUGAAUUGGCAGAUACAAUUCAAGUUGAGAUUUGGUUGGGGACACGGCCAAACCAUAUCAAUAACUUUAUGUAAAUUAUUUAUAUUGAUCAUUCUUUUGUAUCCAAAUAUAUAAACACAUAAGUAAUAUAUGUUCUGUCCAGGU
ensembl:lncRNA LINC02263 long intergenic non-protein coding RNA 2263